CAAAGGUUGCUUGAAUAAGGU
rnacentral:miRNA from 1 species